rnacentral:rRNA from 1 species
UACAGAGGGUGCGAGCGUUAAUCGGAAUUACUGGGCGUAAAGCGUGCGUAGACGGUUCUGUAAGUCGGAUGUGAAAUCCCCGGGCUCAACCUGGGAAUUGCAUUCGAGACUGCAAAGCUUGGGUGCGGAAGAGGGAAGCGGAAUUUCCGGUGUAGCGGUGAAAUGCGUAGAUAUCGGAAGGAACACCAACGGCGAAAGCACUCUGCUGGGCCGACACUGACACUGAGAGACGAAAGCUAGGGGAGCGAAUGGG